UACGGAGGGUGCAAGCGUUAUCCGGAUUCACUGGGUUUAAAGGGUGCGUAGGCGGGCAUUUAAGUCAGUGGUGAAAUACCUGAGCUUAACUUGGGAACUGCCAUUGAUACUAUUUGUCUUGAAUGUUGUGGAGGUCAGCGGAAUAUGUCAUGUAGCGGUGAAAUGCUUAGAUAUGACAUAGAACACCUAUUGCGAAGGCAGCUGGCUACGCAAAUAUUGACGCUGAGGCACGAAAGCGUGGGGAUCAAACAGG
rnacentral:rRNA from 1 species